AGAGCACCAGGAAUGGACACAGUGAAGACCCCCUAUCGCUGCGGAACACGACACUCUUGACAAUGUCUCUGUGUGGGAGUGGUCUGUUUCUGCAUAGGAUGGAGGAGGUGAAGCAACCGAAUGGUUCUCUGCCUAUUUGGGGAAGCCAACUCGGCUCGUGCGGUUUAAAGUUAUAAGAGCACCAUGAAUGGACACACUGAAGGUCCCUCGUGCAGCGGAACGUGCGACACUUGACGAUGUCUUCGUGCGGGAAUGGUCUGGUUCUGCAUAUGAUGAAGGGACUGAAAGCAGCCACAUGGGUCUCCUCCUAUUUUGGGAAGCCAUGUCAGGUCGUGCGGUUUAAAGAAGCGUGGACUCAAAUUACACCUACCAGUCCCGACUUCGCUCAAGGUUACAAAAUCACGUUUGCGGAAUGCUUCCCUUUCAUGAUAGCCUCCAAGGGCUCACUGGAUGCACUAAUCAAUCGACUUAGACCGAAUGGAUGGAUGCCACCCAUACUCAGAAGAUCACGGCAAAGCCUGCCUAGUCCUGAUAUGGUGAGAUAAUCUUCGUGAAAUUGAGAAGUAUCUAUGGACAUGUGCACACCGUUAAUCAAGAAA